GAAAAAUUUUUGGGAAUGAGGAAAAAAAUCUGGGAAAUAUUUGGGAAUGGAGGAAAAUCCCAAAAAAAAUCCCAAAAGAAUUUUUAAAAAAUUCUUAAUUAUAAAGAAAAAAAAUCAUUGGGAAUCAGUGAAAAUGGCCCCAAAAAAAUGGGGUGGGAUUGGGGUUGAUGUGAUUUGGGAAUGGAGGAAAUUAUGGGAAAAUUGUUGGGAAUGUGGAAAAUUCUGGGAGUAUUUGGGAAUGGAGGAAAAUCCCCCAAAAAUAUCCCAAAAUAAUUAAAAAAUAAAAUCCAAAAUAUUCAAAAAAAUUCAUUGGGAAUGAGGGAAAUCGGUGAAAAUGACCCCCAAAAAAUGGGGUGGGAUUGGGGGGGUUUGGGUUUGGCAAUGGUGGAAAAAUUUUUGGGAAUGAGGAAAAAAAUCUGGGAAAUAUUUGGGAAUGGAGGAAAAUCCCAAAAAAAUCCCAAAAGAAUUAAAAAAAAAACCCCAAAAUAUUUUUAAAAAUUCCAUCUCCCACUGAUCCCAAACCUUCUCCAUCCAUCCCAAAACCCGUUCCCACCAUUCCCAGAAUUCCCAAAUCCCAAAUUCCCAAAAUUCCUGGAAUUCCCGGAUUGAAUCCUGACUUUCUGGGUGCAAUGGUUGAGCAUCUCAACAUCUGGGCAGUUCCUCCCUUUGCAACAUCUCCAAACCUCCUCCUGCCAUUCCCAAAUUCCAGACCCCAAAAUUCCCAAAAUUUCCUGGAUUUAACUCCCAAAAUUCCCAGAUUUAAUUCCCAAAAUUCCCCAAAUUCCUGGAAUUCCCGACUUUCCUGGUUCCAUGCUCGAGUAUCUCCUCCCAUGCGCGCUCCAGCCGGUUUCUCCCAUUCCCAACAUCCCCAAAUUUCUGGAUUGAUUCUUGACCUUCUUGGUGCCUGGUGCUCGAGCAUCUCCUCCCAUGCGCGCUCCAGUCGGUUUCUCCCAUUCCCAACAUCCCCAAACCUCCUCUGCCCCCCCCCCCCCCCCCCCCCCCCCCCCCCCCCCCCCCCCCCCCCCCCCCCCCCCCCCCCCCCCCCCCCC
rnacentral:lncRNA from 12 species